UACCUAAAACACGAACGCACACGAGCCGAUUGAAAAUUUUACUUUCGAAGAUCGUUCUUUCAAAAGUAUUCGAUCUAUGAUCGCACAAAGGAAAGAGAAAUGGCUUCUAUAAUGGAGACGCGGCGUGGUUCUGCGGGACGUUCGUACGAUAAUUCCGUGAAUAUUUUUUUAUGUAAUUUGUUAUGCAAUAUGUGGAUCUCCAUGUAGGAUGAAAAAUCUGAUAAAUAAAUGAAUUACUUCGUUAACCCUUAAAAGCUAUCGUGGGUGAAAUUUCAGCCCAAUAAUUAAUCUCCAUACUUUCAUCCGAUAUUAAAUAAUAAAAUAAAAACUUUUAAUCGCAUUCACAUUUUUCCUAUUGCUAUGUAAAAUGAAAGAUAAUACUGUGGGAUGAAAUUUCACCCACGAUGGCAUUAACAUGAUUUCUUUACGUAUUAAACUUUCAAGGGUUAACAAUAAAACUGGUAGAUCAGUCCCAAUAGUCGGACGAUUUUAUCUUCGAAUUCCGUCAGGAGCAAGUACGGCAGUAGUGGUCAAAGUCUUUGGCUACUCGAUUUCGAAGUUGCCGAUGGUUCCGAUGGGGAGGACAUAGGAAGGACGUUUAAAGGGUCUCGGCCUUAGUACGAAGAACGUCAUUAAGCCCUGCCAAUUGCGUGUCGAAGAAGAGGAGGUGGAGAGAACGGUGGAUCGGUAGGCGUGCACGAGGAACACCUUUGGAGUCGGCCAAUGAAAUCUCUUUUCGCGUCGUUUUGCAUUACGUAUUCUUUAUGUUGCCAAGUCACUAUCUUUCUCUCUUUCUCUUUUUCUCGGCGUGCUCCGCCCUUGUGCGUGAGUCUACCUCCAAGUCCGACUACCUCCGACCACCUCCGACCUUCGCCGCCGGCUCCGUCGUUAGCUCCAUCGCUAGCUCCAUCGCUGUGGCUGAAAGAGACUCUUGCGUAAGGGCCCUUUCACACCACGGACGAGUCUCGGAACGCAACUCGUAACUCUAUCAAGCGCGAGAGCUCCACGACUUUGCUUUAAGAAAAGAAAUAAAACGAAGGAGAAAGAACGGAGUCAGCUUUUCUCUCGUUAAGUCGAGAAUCUUCAGAGCGGAGGUAACGAGGGUAGAGGCGACCGAAACUACUACUUCGUUCUGAUACGUUUUCGAGCAUAGACGUUAUUACAUAUUCUUUAUUGGAACGACGAAGGAGAGUUUCGCAAAAGCAAGAAGAAAUGAAAAAGAAGAGAAAAGAAAAAAGAAUAAUAGUCGCUGAUUCGGCCGAAAGAUUUGCGAGUCGCGUUGCAAGUUUCGCUAGAACGAUAAGCAAGAGAAACGAGAUGAACGGAAUUCCGCUUAUCUAAACGGACUAUCUACCGGUGUGCGUACGCACAUGAACACACGGACACGGAGAGACAACGGACGGACGACCGGCCGGCCGGACGGACGGACGGACGGACAGACAGACAGACAGACAGACAGACAGACAGACAGACAGACAGACAGACGUUACCAGCAAUGUAUCCGUCGUUGGAAGAAACUGCUUAGUUCGCACAUACUAUAAUAACCGAAGACGCGAGAGCAUGUACGUAUAUCGUUAUCACACUUUGACAGUUCUAUUGUAAUUAGGAUAUAUACUUAUCUAAUUUUUUAUUUCAAGCAUACAAACUGCUUCUAUGAAGCUCACACACGUGUACGUAUUAUACCUAAUCUCUUCGUCAGUCCUCGUUAAGAUCCUUUCUCUUUCAAAGGGAAAAGACGAAAACGCGUGCGACUCGCAGCUUCCUUCUUGGCCGUGACACACGUUCGAUCCUUCUAGCUCCUUCUCCGUUUACGCGCUCGAAAGAAGGGAAAGAAAAAUAAGGAGAGAAAGAGAGAGAGAGAGGGAUAGUUGCAGCCGGGCAAGACAAAAGGUUCUUGUCCGAAAGGACCCAGGGGCUUUGGUACGGGUCCUUUGGCAGACCUUACCAAUGUGUAAGGGAUAGAGAGAAGAAAUUCGAGAGACCAACCGCUUUUAAGAUGCUUGCUUUUCGAUGGAUUCGACUCGACGUGCCUACCAAAGCGUGUUCGUCGAUUUUCCAAAAACACUUUUCUCUUUCCGCGAUAUCGUUGUCUUCCUUUUUUCUUUUCUUAUCGCUCGACCCAACAAUACCAUGAAAAUUUAUUUAUUUGAAAAAACAAAUAUAAAUAAUUAAAUAAAUUGACGAAGUCGUAACUCCUUGUUACACUCUAAGGAUAUUGAUAAUGAAAAAAAAAAAGAAGCAGUUUACAAUUAUACCAUUUAUUUGACAAAAGAAACAUCUCCAAUUGAUUUUUAGUACCAAUGAAUUAUUUAAUCGAUUAAAUAUUCUCGAAAUGCUACGUCUCUCUUUCAACUUGAUUCGCUAAUUCGCAUACAUCCGAACAACAAUUAUCCCAAAACUUCGUUUAUCAAAAAUCAAUCCUUCAUUCUUUCGCAAAGCAACGCGGCUUUCUACUAAACGGGAUUAGGAGAUUAUCCUUAGCGCGGAAGAACUUUUAGUAAACGCUCGCGUUCCUUGAUGCUGCGAGCGCGUACGGCCAAUUAAAAUACAUUACUGGUAACGAGCCGAAUUAGAUGCAUAUGUUACGCAUGCUCAAUUGAUAAUGACGGUUUUCAACAGCUGUUAGCUUGUACGCGUUAACAUUUAUACAUGCUCGUCUACGUGCCUUCCGAGUGUUGUUACUAAUUGUCAAUAUAAAUAACAGUGUAAGGCGAAAAACCCAAUAACAAUUUCUUACAAAAUAUUACCAGUCUGUGUAUUCUAGUUUUUCUCGUAUUUCCUAAAUUCUAUGAAAUACGAAA